GAUGAACGCUGGCGGCGUGCUUAAUACAUGCAAGUCGAGCGGACAGACGAGGAUCUUGUUCCUCUCACGUGAGCGGCGCGCGGGUGAGUAACACGUGGAUACCCUCCCUAUAUGACUGGGAUAACUACGAGACAGCGGAGCUAAUACCAGAUGAUAUAUUGAACCGCAGGGGGCGAUAGUGAAUGACGGUUUUGCUGGCACUUCUAGAUGGUUCCGCGCCGCAUUAGCUAGUUGGUAAGGUAACGGCUUACCAAGGCAACGAUGCGUAGCCGACCGGAGAGAGGGAUAGGCGACCCUGGAAGGGGAACACGGUCCAGACUCCUACGGGAGGACGCAGUAGGGAACCUUCGGCAGCGGGGGAGAGCAUGACGGAGCAACGGGGCGUGAGUGGUGAAGGCCUUGCGAUCGGGAAGCACGGUUACUAGGGGUGAACAACUGUGUAAGUAAAUAUAGACGUAUUGACGGUACCUGGUCAGAAAGCAACGGCUAACUACGUG
rnacentral:rRNA from 1 species